AAAUCCAGCUCAUAUUUCCAAUUUUUAUCAUUCAAACUAUGGCUGAAUAAGAUAUAGAAGAAAAGAUCAAAGAUUAUUUUUUCAAAGGUUAUAGUUACAGACUUAUACAUUAUUUGAUCCAAAGAAGAUUUAACUGUAAUAUAAGUUACAAUCAGCUAAAGAGGAAGAUAAUUCCUGAAUUGGGUUUGCGACGGAGGGGUGCAAAUAUUGAUUUAGAAGAACUUUUUAA